rnacentral:rRNA from 1 species
CCUACGGGAGGCAGCAGUGGGGAAUAUUGGGCAAUGGAGGCAACUCUGACCCAGCAACGCCGCGUGAGUGAUGAAGGUCUUCGGAUUGUAAAACUCUUUAAGUGGGGACGAAGAAAGUGACUGUAGCCACAGAAUAAGCCUCGGCUAACUACGUGCCAGCAGCCGCGAUAAUACGUAGGAGGCAAGCGUUAUCCGGAAUGACUGGGCGUAAGGGGGGCGUAGGGGGUGUGGCAAGUGAGUAGCGUAAUGCCGGGGCUCAACCUCGGAACUACUACUAAAACUGCUUGGCUUGAGUGCAGGAGGGGCAUAUGGAAUUCCUAGUGUAGCGGUGGAAUGCGUAGAUAUUAGGAGGAACACCAGUGGCGAAGGCGAUAUGCUGGACUGUAACUGACACUGAGGCACGAAAGCGUGGGGAGCAAACAGGAUUAGAUACCCUUGUAGUC